rnacentral:rRNA from 1 species
GACGAACCGUGCGAACGUUAUUCGGAAUCACUGGGCUUAAAGCGUGUGUAGGCGGGCCCGUCAGUACCUUGUGAAAUCCCACGGCUCAACCGUGGAACCGCUGGGUAUACUGCGGGUCUUGGGCCGACUAGGGGCAGCCGGAACAAGCGGUGGAGCGGUGAAAUGCGUAGAUAUCGCUUGGAACGCCGAAGGUGAAAACAGGCUGCUGGGGUCGCGCCGACGCUGAGACACGAAAGCCAGGGGAGCAAACGGG